ACGAUAUCUUACACGCCAGUAUGCAUAUGGUUGUUAAUAAUAACACAUGGAAUUAAGUACGUGUACGUGUUUUAUUGUAGUGCAUUUAUUUUACUCUACACAUACAAAUGGUGAAAUCUAAAUAAAGUAGAUGUUUUCGAACUGAUUUAGUAUUGAAAGGGAAUUUAUUGUAAAUGAAACAAGGAUAGGAUUACAGACCACAGGUCAUGCCAUGAGUGUAGUGGAAACGCAGCCGAACUCGAAAACGACCGAGGCAGACCAAAUAUCCUACGUUGAUAGUGACACGCAUGCGCGCGAAUACUGUUGUUGUCUGCACGGUUGGGGAACGGGCCCCGAUCCCCGAUGGUACUAUCCCUGGGACAAAGGCAUUUACCGGAUGUUCGGGGUGUGCUGCAUGUGGUAUUGCGUCUGUUUCGCAGCACCGUGCGUCCUUUGCAAAAAAGAAUUCAGAGACAUCAUAUUUUGCGCAGAUCAGAUGGGCAACAGACCGGAAGUUCGGCAUCGGGAUGCGUCAGAUGAGAUUGCGGAAGCGUAGCAGAUAAACUGUUUUCUCCGCGAAAACGUAAUAUUUCAAACAUGUUGUUAUUUAUGUGUUUUACCAAUGAAGACUGUUAUAUAA